AGAACCCCCUUAGAUGUCACAUUCGUGGAGACAGAGGAGUCUUGGACCAUGUGCGCAACUGGAGCGUAGGAGUGUGCACUCGUCUUCUCGGAAAGGAAGGGCUGGAAAUAACCCUGACAGUGUUAGGCUUGGUGGCGAUCAGGGACAGAUGACUCUUACCGGUAGCCGUUUGCCCAAAUGCUUCUGCCCUUUGGAAGAGUCUUUGUGGCAGUGUGAGUUGUCUCCAGUAAGGGACCCUGGAGGGAGUGGCUCAUCCUAGCUAUAAAGAGUGUGUUAUUUUUAUCUUUUUUUUUUAAAGAAUCACUUUUUCUAAGUAUGUCGGAGUGAUUGAGCAGAGAGAAAAAUGAAUACCCUAAGCGAACUAGAAAUCUGGAAAGAACCGAAAUAGAGGCAGUGUCUCAUGACACUUUACUUGAGGACUCACCUGAUGAACUGCUGAUCAACUCUAUAGAUUCCUUCACCUAACCAGAACUGACUUCAUCAGAGAGUUAUGAUGGUUAACUCUAUCAGUCUUCUACCUGAAUGCCCCAAGAUAUUGAUGAAGUCAACAAAAACAUUGAGCCUCAGAACACAAGAAAUCUUGGACAAACUGGGAGACAGCUUGUCAGUAUCUAAGGUCUCUGUCUUGUCCUGGAGAUGUCCCCCAUCUCCUCAUCCCCAUCAGCUGAGGAUUUCCAUUUGUUUACAUGGCCCUCCAGGAUCUCUCCUGCACUUCCCCAGACUUGAUCCUGAAGCCUCCAUUUCCCUCCCUAUAGCCCUCUGAACUCCAGGAAAACACUUUGCCAUGGGCAUGUAUGAUUUUUCCAAGUGCAGAGUGAUGUCGACACAUCAUGGACUCUGGUCUGUGCUCCACUACAGAAGGCUACCACUGUCUUACAAGUCGAUUUUAAAAUACUCACAGCUUCACUUUCUUUUAACAGUCCUUUAGCUCAGAAUGUUCUUGUCUGUCUGGGCCUGCCUUGAAAUUGAUCCUGGAUUUGAAACUGACAACUGUGAACUAGCAAGAAAAUGGUGCUGCAAGAGUUUUCAUGUUUGAAGAAGAUUCAAAGACGGGUCUGAUUGUAUAGGUUCAUGGCUCAGUCACAAAUAAACAUAGGUUCUGAUCACCUGA
rnacentral:lncRNA from 1 species